rnacentral:lncRNA from 1 species
CCAUGUUACCUUCCCAAAAUUCCCAGGUGGGUAGUUUUCGUGGAUUGCCCCCUCAUGCUCGUGGUUAUGGAACUCAGGACGCUCGGUUUGAUGAAAGACCUUUUGAGGCUAGGACAUUGUCUGUUCCAUUGCCUCAAAGACCACUUGGGGACGAUUCUAUUACAUUGGGGCCCCAGGGUGGUCUUGGUCGAGGAAUGUCUUCUAUUAGAGGACCACUGCCAAUGCCUGGUACCCGCUUAGCUG